rnacentral:rRNA from 1 species
UACUUAGGGGGCAAGCGUUGUCCGGAUUUACUGGGCGUAAAGCGCGCGCAGGCGGCCCAUUAAGUAAGGUGUGAAAUAUCCCGGCUCAACCGGGAGGGUGCACUUUAGACUGAUGAGCUUGAGGUCGGUAGAGGGGGGUGGAAUUGCUGGUGUAGCGGUGAAAUGCGUAGAGAUCAGCAGGAACACCCGUGGCGAAGGCGGCCCCCUGGGCCGUACCUGACGCUGAGGCGCGAAGGCUAGGGGAGCGAACGGG